rnacentral:rRNA from 1 species
GACGAACGCUGGCGGCGCGCUUAACACAUGCAAGUCGAGCGAAGCGGCGGACGGGUGAGUAACACGUGAGUAACCUGCCUUAGACAUUGGGAUAGCAGCGGGAAACCGGGAUUAAUACCAAAUGGACUAAGAUGGACUCGCGUCGCAUUAGCCAGUUGGUGAGGUAACGGCCCCCCAAGGCGACGAUGGGUAGCCGGGGUGAGAGGGUGAGCGGCCACAUUGGAACUGAGCAACGGUCCAAACUCUACGGGAGGCGGCAGUGGGUAAUAUUGCACAAUGGAGGGAACUCUGAAGCAGCGACGCCGCGUGAACGAAGAAGGCUUUCGAGUCGUAAAGUUCUUUUAUAUGGGAAGCGGUACCAUAAGAAAAAGCCCCGGCUAACUACGUGCCAGCAGCCGCGGUAAUAC